rnacentral:rRNA from 1 species
UACGUAGGUGGCAAGCGUUGUCCGGAAUUAUUGGGCGUAAAGCGCGCGCAGGCGGUCCUUUAAGUCUGAUGUGAAAUCCCACGGCUCAACCGUGGAAGGUCAUUGGAAACUGGGGGGACUUGAGUACAGAAGAGGAAAGCGGAAUUCCAAGUGUAGCGGUGAAAUGCGUAGAGAUUUGGAGGAACACCAGUGGCGAAGGCGGCUUUCUGGUCUGUAACUGACGCUGAGGCGCGAAAGCGUGGGGAGCAAACAGG